AGAACGAACGCUGGCGGCAUGCCUAACACAUGCAAGUCGAACGCUCCUGGGGCUUCGGUCUCAGGGGAGUGGCGCACGGGUGAGUAGCGCGUGGGAACCUGCCCUGUUGUGGGGGAUAACCGAGGGAAACUUCGGCUAAUACCGCAUAAGCCGGUUGUCUUGAAAGAGAUGGCCGGGAAAGAUUUAUCGCGACAGGAGGGGCCCGCGUCGGAUUAGCUAGUUGGUGGGGUAACGGCCCACCAAGGCAGUGAUCCGUAGCUGGUCUGAGAGGAUGAUCAGCCACACUGGGACUGAGACACGGCCCAGACUCCUACGGGAGGCAGCAGUGGGGAAUAUUGGACAAUGGGCGCAAGCCUGAUCCAGCAAUGCCGCGUGGGUGAAGAAGGUCUUCGGAUUGUAAAGCCCUUUCGGCGGGGACGAUGAUGACGGUACCCGCAGAAGAAGCCCCGGCUAACUUCGUGCCAGCAGCCGC
rnacentral:rRNA from 1 species